rnacentral:lncRNA from 1 species
AGCUUUCCCCAGCCAAUUCCUGCUAGAUAAUUCAAGAACCCAAAUCAAUGGUGUUCCACAUGGGGAAUGUUAAGACCUGUGCUGGAGGAAGCGAGGAUGUACCCAAGGAAAGCAGGCCUCCCAUGUGCCUACUGUUGAUCAAGGCGGAAACACCUUCUGUGCCUGACACUGUGGUUACAGAGGCCAGCAAGGGAGAUCAGAUCAUCUAGCACUGGAGUUACAGCAGUUGUGAGCCUCCAUUUGGAUGCGAGGAAUCAAACCAAGAUCCUCUGGAAGAGCAGCCAGCAUCCUAAACCACUGAGCCAGCCAUCUCUCCAGACCCAACCACCCAAUUUUUCCAAUGGCUUCUCAAGAUCCAAACUUCAGUCCUCAUACUUCAUAGCAAACAAUUUAUCCACUGAUUCAUCCUCCCAACCAUGUCCUGAUCACUUUUUAAAAGUAAUAACCAUAACUUACUUGAAACUGUACGUAUUAAA